rnacentral:rRNA from 1 species
GAUGAACGCUGGCGGCGUGCCUAAUACAUGCAAGUCGAGCGGACGGACGAGAAGCUUGCUUCCCUGAUGUUAGCGGCGGACGGGUGAGUAACACGUGGAUAACCUACCUAUAAGACUGGGAUAACUUCGGGAAACCGGAGCUAAUACCGGAUGAUAUUUUGAACCGCAUGGUUCAAAAGUGAAAGACGGUCUUGCUGUCACUUGUAGAUGGAUCCGCGCUGCAUUAGCUAGUUGGUAAGGUAACGGCUUACCAAGGCAACGAUGCAUAGCCGACCUGAGAGGGUGAUCGGCCACACUGGAACUGAGACACGGUCCAGACUCCUACGGGAGGCAGCAGUAGGGAAUCUUCCGCAAUGGGCGAAAGCCUGACGGAGCAACGCCGCGUGAGUGAUGAAGGUCUUCGGAUCGUAAAACUCUGUUAUUAGGGAAGAACAUAUGUGUAAGUAACUGUGCACAUCUUGACGGUACCUAAUCAGAAAGCCACGGCUAACUACGUG